UCUCUCUCUGUAUUCGUUUUCUCGCCCAUCAGAUUAUUGUAUCCCACGCCGAAGAAAUCGCCACACGUGUCCUGGGAGCGAAUCAGAAGACGAAAAAGACGACGACGAUGAAGAAGAGGACGAAAAGAGCGCGUGCCGGUUCAUGAUGAUGGUCAGUUCUGUCUCCGUCAGACAAAUUACGGCGAACAUCAACAGGUCCGCAGUUAAAAAUUAGACGAAUAUUGC
rnacentral:lncRNA from 1 species